GUAGUCAUGGCCGCCUUCCGCGACAUAGAGGAGGUGAGCCAGGGGCUGCUCAGCCUGCUGGGCGCCAACCGCGCGGAGGCGCAGCAGCGACGGCUGCUGGGGCGCCACGAGCAGGUGGUGGAGCGGCUGCUGGAAACGCAAGACGGUGCCGAGAAGCAGCUGCGAGGGCUGCAGACAAGGGGCAUGUUUCUUGCCAGUGGAGGCAAGUGGAACCACCUUCUCUCUGCUCUCCUUGGGGAAGGACAGACCCUAGGGAGCCUGCUUCUCUCCACCCUGCAGAGAUCCUCACCAUGGAGAAGGAAGUGGCCCAGAGCCUUCUCAAUGCGAAGGAGCAGGUGCACCAGGGAGGCGUGGAGCUGCAGCAGCUGGAAGCUGGGCUUCAGGAGGCUGGGGAGGAGGACACCCGUCUGAAGGCCAGCCUCCUUCAGCUCACCAGAGAGCUGGAAGAGCUCAAGGAGAUUGAGGCGGAUCUGGAGCGACAGGAGAAGGAGGUCGACGAGGACACGACAGUCACAAUCCCCUCGGCCGUGUACGUGGCUCAACUUUACCACCAAGUUAGUAAAAUUGAGUGGGAUUAUGAGUGUGAGCCAGGGAUGGUCAAAGGCAUCCAUCAUGGCCCCAGUGUGGCCCAGCCCAUCCACCUGGACAGCACCCAGCUCUCCAGGAAAUUCAUCAGCGACUACCUCUGGAGUCUGGUGGACACCGAGUGGUAGCCAGGAGCCUCGUGGCUGCGUCUUGCACCCAGCGGGCAUCUGCCGUGGUCAGAUCCAUUUCAAAUGAAAUGUGGGGACAUAGAUCUUUUUUUUUUUUUUUUUGAGACAGAGUUUCACUCUUGUUGUCCAGUCUGGAGUGCAAUGGCACAAUCUCAGCUCACAGCAACCUCUGCCUCCUGGGUUCAAGCGAUUCUCCUGCCUCAGCCUCCAAAGUAGCUGGGAUUACAGGCAUGCGCCACCACACCCAGCUAAUUUUUUGUAUUUGGUAGAGAUGGAGUUUCACCAUGGUGGUCAGGCUGGUCUUGAACUCCUGACCUCAGGUGAUCCACCCGCCCGCCUUGGCCUCCCAAAGUGCUAGGAUUCCAGGCGUGAGCCAUCGUGCCCAGCUAGACGUCUUCCUUUUUUUUUUUUUUUUGAGACGGAGUCUCACUCUGUCGCCCAGGCUGGAGUGCAGUGGUGCGAUCUCAGCUCACUGCAAGCUCCGCCUCCUCCCGGGUUCACGCCAUUCUCCUGCCUCAGCCUCCUGAGUAGCUGGGACUACAGGCACCUGCCACCAUGCGCAGCUAAUUUUUUGUAUUUUUAGUAGAGACGGGGUUUCACCAUGUUAGACAGGAUGGUCUCCAUCUCCUGAGUUUGUGAUCUGCCCGCCUUGGCCUCCCAAAGUGCUGGGAUUACAGGUGUGAGUCACCGCGCCUGGCCUUUUUUUUUUUUUUUUUUACUGGAUUUCUUUUUCUCCUGAUUUUCGGCCUCAGCUCCUAGAGUGGCCUCAGCUAGGUAACCAACGGGAGUCGACUUAUCUAUGCCAGGCCUGCAGUUUCACAUCUGUGACGGGAUGGGACAAAUGACACCGUGGUAUUCGAUGACAGCUCCCAGGUACUUCAAGGUUGGCCCUUACUCAUUCAGGGGGUAUGUUUGAGUGCCACGGUGUGCCCAGACUCUGCUAGGCACCAGAGAGACAAGAUACGAGUGACAUGGUUCUCCUCCCACUGCUGACGGAGGAAUUAACACAAAAGCAGACAACACUCUAGAACUGGAGAGAGGUCCAGAUUGCGACAGGAGCCACACCAGAGUGUGCAGGCUUCAUGGAGGACAGAAGCGACUUUUGUGCCGGGACUUAAAAAGAUAAGGAGGCCAGGUGUGGUGGCUCAUGCCUGCAAUCCCAGCACUGUAGAAGGCAGAGGCCGGCAGAUCACUUGAGCCCAGGAGUUGGAGACCAGACUGGGGAACAUGGCAAGACCCCAUCUCUACAAAAAAAUUAAAAAAUUUGGCCUGGUGUGGUGGCUCAUGCCUGUGAUCCUAGCACUUUGGGAGUUAAAAUACAACACUUCCCAGCUGCCCUUAUAGUUAAGGUCUGGCCAGUGAAAUGUAUGUGGAAAUGUUACAUGACACUUCUAGAAGGAUUCUUAAAAGACAAAUACACCCUUUCUUCCCCCUUCCUAUUUCCUGGAAUGUGGGUGUGAUGGCUGGAGCCCUGGCAGCCAUACUGCCACGUGUACAGACGAGUGCCGUCCUUUAGGGAUGACAGGAGCCUGGUUCCCUGAUGAUGGCAGAGCCAGAUAUCAGCACAAACUUAUUUAAAUGGGAGAGAGAAGGGGAGAACCAAUCUCAACUUCUACCUUGUGUAAGCUGCUGGUUUUGGGGGUUUUCUAUGACAGAUACCAAAAUAAACCCUAACUGAACAUGUACUCCA